AGCAGAUAAAUAUGAAAUAUCAGUUUAUAAUUUACAUAUUACAAACACGCAGCGCUUUUAUGUAUAAACACGUCGUAUAUCAGGCAUGCGGCCCUUUAUCCACGAAAUUUAUUCCAUUCAUAUUUGUCUUUUAUAUGUAAGUGUAACUAUUUAAAUGCGUGGGUAGAUAGUCAAAACAUCACAUUUGGCCAAAUGAUAGAUUCUCAACGUCUAUUAUCACUGUCGCUUGUAAAACCCUCCAUUAUUUGAAUCUCCUCGUCGCUUUUACCAGGAAUAACUGCCAAGAUGUAUUUAGAAAAUACUCGCAAAACGGGAUUGCUAAAGAUUAGCAGACGAUGUGCCAUAUUUUUGAAGAAAUUUGACCCAACCGAGUAAUCGACACCAGAAGCCAAGUAAUCGACAUGUUAUUUAGCAGGCCUUUAAUACAGCUACGCAAGUCUUCGUCUCAAAUUUCAAAUUCCAACCUGCGAACGGGCAUACUCAUUACGGGCUGUAUGGCCUGCGGAGGAGGUAGCUACAUUCCCGCAUUCCCCCCUUCCUGCAUUCCCCCGUUCCUGCAUUCCCCCAUUC